rnacentral:lncRNA from 1 species
GCAUGUCGGUACAUGUCUUGUCGCAACUCAAUUGCAACAAGCUUUUCUGUUAAUUUUGUGCAGUCAGUUCCUUUUUUUGGUGCUGCUCCGUUUUUAUGUGCAGCUGUUGUCCCAAGGACAGUGAACGUUUACAGGCAGCGAUUUUAAGUUCAGACAUGAUGGUUAUAAAAUGGCGACUUCUGCGGCAGAGUUUCCUGUUGGGCAGCGUAGUGUAUAAUGCAUGGUAUAAUGAUAUUCUGGCCCAUCAUAUGGUGGCAUGCUUGCUGUUAGUAUGACUGUCAGAGUCGGUUCACACCUCAUUCACUUGAAUUGUGUGCUCAAGGUCAUCAUGGACAUGCUAGGUGUGGAUGCUGGAAGGACUUUCCAGAAAGACAAGAAGUGUCAAUUACCCAACUAUUUUUUGUUUUGCUGCCCGACUCUGCACGGUUUCUUGAGGCUGUCAUCAGAACCCAGUGCAUCACAGACGGUGCUAAUGACUGCGCCAUACAACACUGCUGUCAGUGUGCCAAAGAUGGGCAAGAUGAACACCGAACACAGUGGAUCCAUUGACUGCAUUGCUAGUGUUGCAAAGAUAAAUGCUUAACCUCUUCUGUGCCAUUCCAUUAUCCCAAAUUCUGACCAAAAAUGACCAACGUUUUUUUAUUGAAAAAUCUUUUAUGAAAGACUUCUAAUGUUUUAAGGAGUAGUGACAUGAUAUUUUUGACAAUUCAUCUUAUUGUGUUAAGUGAAGGUCACAGAGCUCUAAACCCUAGAAAAAGAUAGUGGCAAGCCUCAGAUUGCUGUAAAUAAUUUCGUAUAACAGCUUUGCCACAACCAAUUUCGGUUUCAUUUCCAGAACAAUACUAUGUCAUGACGUCGCAACACAGUAUGUGGCCACAUGAGAGCAGCACAACGCAACAUUUUACACUUGGUCCAACUCGCUCGGUUGUCCGCUAUGCUGCUACGUUGGCCUUCACAAUGAGUAGCAGCAUACAAGGCAACUGAGAGAGCUGGAAAAAGUGUCAAAAUGUGUCAAAAUGUUGCAAUGUCCUGCUCCCACAUACUGAUCGUGAAGUGCACUGCUUGUUCAGCUUAAACCAAUUAUUUAAUGUCCUAUUAAAUAAUUACUGGUGCUCUGAGGCUUAUCAGUAUCUUUUCUAGGGUUUAGAGCUCUAUGACUUUCAUUCAAUGUAACAAAUGAACAUUUAAAGAUGUCAUGCCAGUACCCCUUUUCUCUAUUGUUCGAAAUCUCGGCUGUUAUGUACACCUGAAGGUUAACUGCACUGCAUUAUAUACUGUGUAAUAGGCAUGAAAAGAGCACAUGAAACUCGACAUUUGCCUGCUGAGUACACUUUGAAAUAUUUCAGUGGGUCACCUGUGUCUUCCACAUCAAACAUCUUGACAAGAGUCCAAAAACUGGAAGUUAGGUGGGCAUUCAGGGGCCUUGUUCUGCGUUUGUUCACAUUGAAAAAAGUGAUCAGGUGUCUGCCAUAACAUCUACUUGGCUAAUAAGCAGAGGGAAAGCUGUGUGGCCACCAUAUAAGAACUCUCACAGAAUAUCAUUAACGAUUAAAAACUCGGCAAUUCCAAUGACCACAGCAAUUCCAAUGACCACCUGGGAAGAAUGCAGCUGCAAGUGUGGUGACAAAUGAAUGAUUCAUAGAAACAUUCAUAGAAAUGGAUGAUUGCACUGUAAUGUUGACUUCGUUACUGAAGUGCUUUAUCCUAUGUUGUUUUUUUUCUCUCU